AAGUCGUAACAAGGUCUCCGUUGGUGAACCAGCGGAGGGAUCAUUACUGAGUUACCGCUCUACAACCCUUUGUGAACAUACCUAACCGUUGCUUCGGCGGGCAGGGGAAGCCUCUCGCGGGCGGACCCUCCCGGCGCCGGCCCCAUCACGGGGGCGGAGCGCCCGCCGGAGGAAACCAAACUCUAUUUACACGACGUCUCUUCUGAGUGGCACAAGCAAAUAAUUAAAACUUUUAACAACGGAUCUCUUGGUUCUG
rnacentral:misc_RNA from 1 species